rnacentral:rRNA from 1 species
GUAGGUGGCAAGCGUUGUCCGGAAUUAUUGGGCGUAAAGCGCGCGCAGGCGGUUCUUUAAGUCUGAUGUGAAAGCCCACGGCUCAACCGUGGAGGGUCAUUGGAAACUGGAGAACUUGAGUACAGAAGAGGAAAGCGGAAUUCCACGUGUAGCGGUGAAAUGCGUAGAGAUGUGGAGGAACACCAGUGACGAAGGCGGCUUUCUGGUCUGUAACUGACGCUGAGGCGCGAAGGCGUGGGGAGCAAACAGGGAUUAGAUACCCUGGUAGUCCACGCCGUAAACGAUGAGUGCUAAGUGUUAGGGGGUUUCCGCCCCCUUAGUGCUGCAGCUAACGCAUUAAGCACUCCGCCUGGGGAGUACGGCCGCAAGGCUG